GUUGGUCAAGAUAUGGAUUAGUUAAUAUAAUACAAAACAAAAAGUAUACAUGCCAAACGAAUUUCUUCACAAGUGGCCAUUUUCUAAACAUACUUUUAAAAGUUUUCUUCUUCUUAUCGUUUGAUACAAAUUUCUAACUUUUUAUUAGUAAAUUUCCGAGGAGAGAAGUUUCCGCGAUGUUCAAUUCCUCUGUGAUUCACAAGUGCUCAUCAACCUUCUCAAAUCAGGAGACACAAUAAAUGAGUUUCAUGGAAUCCUUCACAAUACUCGGAGCAUUGCUUCCUAUAAGACGCUACUGUGAUCUUUUAUUAGAAUCUAUACCAUGCAUAUGGUCAUGAACACAUUGUUCAACGUCACUGAUUACAAUUAUAUUCGGAUUAAGUACGUAUGCAAGAUCUGAAAAUUCACAAUAUAGUUAGAUGAACACCGAUUAAGUAUAGUUUAUUAAAUUCAAAUAUGUAUAUAUUUCUAGAGAUAUAUAUCUUUGAUUGCGUGUUUAAAGCAUGUUUUUUUAUAACAUGGUUUUCUGUUAGGUCAAAAUUUUUAAACGCAAUUGAUUUUGUCUUGGUUACACUUUUAUGUCGAUGGUCCAUAUGGCUGUCUGAUUAUCAACGUCAAGGACCAAAUACUUUAUACUUGUAUAUAAAAAAAAUGUUUAAUAAAUGUCAUUCUAGUUUUAUUUUUUUGUUACACAAAAAAUAUCAUUUUACAAUUCUAAAACAAAUUAUAUUUAUUUUCAUCUGAAAAUUAAUUACAAACUGCAUAGGUUUUAUAAAUAAUUUUAUUUAUCUCAAAUAUUGUUGGUAGAAAGACGUAAUUAAUAACAACUUACAUAUAUUUUUGCUACUUUCUUAGUUUGUGUGAAAAGUGUCAACGUGACACUUAUUCAAAAACGGAUGUAAUAUAAGGUUAAGAACAAAACAACAAUACGACUAGUUUUACCUGUGUUACAUCAGAUUAUGUAUUGAAUGGUAAAUCAUAAAACACGUUCAAAUACUUGUUGUUCGUGUCUUAUACGUGACCUAUAUAUAUAUACUCCCUCUAUUUCAAUGUAUAUGUGGUUUUGAAAGAUUUUUAUUUGUUUCACAAUUUAAUUUGUUUUCAAAGUCCAAUAAAAAAAGUAAAGUGAUAAAACAAUAUUUAAACAAAAAAUUAAAAGAAAUUUUAGAAAUAUUUAUUUGACUGGUCACUUUUUCUGUUUGAUUAGAUGCUAAAAACAAAUAUAUUUUAAUACUUGUGCUUUUAAACAAAACUAUUUAUAAUUUGAAACAGAUAAAGUAUCAAUUUGGUUAGAAUUAUUUUUUUCAUUUCAUAAGAAAAAAGAUUUUAUUUAUUUGUAUAAAGUUUUUUUUUGGACAACAUAUGUUAGCACUAUGUUAGCAUGCAUUUCUUAUUUUUGUAUAAAGUUAAUCAAUUAAAAAACACAAAAGGUUUUACAACAUAUGUUAGCAACUUAGCAUCAAUGUUUUUAAACUCGAUCCGAAUACUGAACCGGACGAAUUACCGGGUCGAAGGAUCAGGAUCGACCGUGGGUGAACCGCGGAUUCAUAAAUGAAUUAAUUUUAUUAUAUAAUAAUAUAUUAUCUAUGUAAAUAAAAAUAUAGAAAAUAAAGUUUAAUGUUUUCUAAAUGUUUUUUAAAACAUAAAAUAAUAGUUUGGAUAUGUAUAUAUUUUAUGUUUAAAACAUUUAGAAAAUACUUAACUUUAGUUUUUAUAUUUUUAUUUUCAUUUGACAUACAAAAUAUAAAAAAAAUAGUGUGGACUAUUUAAAAUUUUCUGUAACAAGGUAGGAGUUAUGACAUCUAAAAAAAAUCAAGACAUAAAAUUCAUAAAUACUUAAAUUUCUAAUAUGAAUAAUAAAUUAAACUUCAAAUCUAAAAAAAAUACAAAGGUAAAAGAUCGUUGUAAUAAAUUGUCAAAUAACAUAAAUAAACUAACACCAAAUCACAUCAACUAAUUUUGGUUCUCUCUAUCAUCGUUCACUUCAUUUUCUUCAGGUGACAUAGUGAAAUCUUCAUCAAAAUCUAAAAAUCACAAAUAUAAAAAUGAAAAGGAAAAACCUAACUUUUUUUUGUUAACACCUAACUUCUUAAUUAUAAACUUAAUUAGAAUAUAAAACAUUAUUAAAAACUAAAAAAAGUAAAGUUAUUUAUUGGUUCAACCGAUGGUUCAACCGGUAUCGGGUUCUGGGGUUUACUGGGUUUUUGCGGGUUUGUGCGGAUUUUUAAAUAUUGAGAUUUUUACAAAACUCAAACCGGAUUUUUUUUUGUUACCGGACUUACCGGUUCAACUGCGGAUCCGGAUCGGGUUUCAAAACAACGGUUAGCAUUCAUUUCUUAUUCUUUUUAAAAGUAAGGUGCUC
rnacentral:lncRNA from 1 species